rnacentral:pre_miRNA from 1 species
CAAGUACUCGCUCCGUCCGGAAUUACUUGUCAUCAAAAUGGAUGUGUCUAGAACUAAAAUACAUCUAGAUACAUCCAUUUCAAUCACAAGUAUUUUCGGACGGAGGGAGUACAAG